UACGUAGGGUGCAAGCGUUGUCCGGAAUUAUUGGGCGUAAAGAGCUCGUAGGCGGUUUGUCGCGUCGAAUGUGAAAACCCCGGGGCUCAACCCCGGGCCUGCAUUCGAUACGGGCAGACUAGAGUUCGGUAGGGGAGUCUGGAAUUCCUGGUGUAGCGGUGAAAUGCGCAGAUAUCAGGUGGAACACCGGUGGCGAAGGCGGUGCUCUGGGCCAGUACUGACGCUGAGGAGCGAAAGCGUGGGGAGCAAACAGG
rnacentral:rRNA from 1 species